GGUGAUAUAGCUCAGUUGGUAGAGUGGUUGCCUUGCACAAGGCUCUGGGUUCAAUUCCCAGCACCA
rnacentral:tRNA from 1 species